GCCAGCGUGGUAUAGUGGUUUGAAUGCUAGACUACAACUCUAGACACCAAAGUUUGAUUCCCAGCUGGCC